rnacentral:rRNA from 1 species
AUUGAACGCUGGCGGCAUGCCUAACACAUGCAAGUCGAACGGCAGCACGGCAGUAGCAAUACUGUGGGUGGCGAGUGGCGGACGGGUGAGGAAUACGUCGGAAUCUGCCCAGUCGUGGGGGAUAACUAGCCGAAAGGUUAGCUAAUACCGCAUACGACCGAGAGGUGAAAGCGGGGGACCGCAAGGCCUCGCGCGAUUGGAUGAGCCGACGUCGGAUUAGCUAGUUGGUGGGGUAAAGGCCUACCAAGGCCACGAUCGGUAGCUGGUCUGAGAGGAUGAUCAGCCACACUGGGACUGAGACACGGCCCAGACUCCUACGGGAGGCAGCAGUGGGGAAUAUUGGACAAUGGGCGCAAGCCUGAUCCAGCAAUGCCGCGUGUGUGAAGAAGGCCUGCGGGUUGUAAAGCACUUUCAGUGGGGAAGAACAGAUUCGGGUCAAUA